GGUAGCACAGAGAGCUUGCUCUCGGGUGACGAGCGGCGGACGGGUGAGUAAUGUCUGGGAAACUGCCUGAUGGAGGGGGAUAACUACUGGAAACGGUAGCUAAUACCGCAUAAUGUCGCAAGACCAAAGUGGGGGACCUUCGGGCCUCAUGCCAUCAGAUGUGCCCAGAUGGGAUUAGCUAGUAGGUGGGGUAACGGCUCACCUAGGCGACGAUCCCUAGCUGGUCUGAGAGGAUGACCAGCCACACUGGAACUGAGACACGGUCCAGACUCCUACGGGAGGCAGCAGUGGGGAAUAUUGCACAAUGGGCGCAAGCCUGAUGCAGCCAUGCCGCGUGUGUGAAGAAGGCCUUCGGGUUGUAAAGCACUUUCAGCGGGGAGGAAGGCGUUAAGGUUAAUAACCUUGGCGAUUGACGUUACCCGCAGAAGAAGCACCGGCUAACUCCGUGCCAGCAGCCGCGGUAAUACGGAGGGUGCAAGCGUUAAUCGGAAUUACUGGGCGUAAAGCGCACGCAGGCGGUCUGUCAAGUCGGAUGUGAAAUCCCCGGGCUCAACCUGGGAACUGCAUUCGAAACUGGCAGGCUAGAGUCUUGUAGAGGGGGGUAGAAUUCCAGGUGUAGCGGUGAAAUGCGUAGAGAUCUGGAGGAAUACCGGUGGCGAAGGCGGCCCCCUGGACAAAGACUGACGCUCAGGUGCGAAAGCGUGGGGAGCAAACAGGAUUAGAUACCCUGGUAGUCCACGCCGUAAACGAUGUCGAUUUGGAGGUUGUGCCCUUGAGGCGUGGCUUCCGGAGCUAACGCGUUAAAUCGACCGCCUGGGGAGUACGGCCGCAAGGUUAAAACUCAAAUGAAUUGACGGGGGCCCGCACAAGCGGUGGAGCAUGUGGUUUAAUUCGAUGCAACGCGAAGAACCUUACCUGGUCUUGACAUCCACAGAACUUUCCAGAGAUGGAUUGGUGCCUUCGGGAACUGUGAGACAGGUGCUGCAUGGCUGUCGUCAGCUCGUGUUGUGAAAUGUUGGGUUAAGUCCCGCAACGAGCGCAACCCUUAUCCUUUGUUGCCAGCGGUUCGGCCGGGAACUCAAAGGAGACUGCCAGUGAUAAACUGGAGGAAGGUGGGGAUGACGUCAAGUCAUCAUGGCCCUUACGACCAGGGCUACACACGUGCUACAAUGGCAUAUACAAAGAGAAGCGACCUCGCGAGAGCAAGCGGACCUCAUAAAGUAUGUCGUAGUCCGGAUUGGAGUCUGCAACUCGACUCCAUGAAGUCGGAAUCGCUAGUAAUCGUAGAUCAGAAUGCUACGGUGAAUACGUUCCCGGGCCUUGUACACACCGCCCGUCACACCAUGGGAGUGGGUUGCAAAAGAAGUAGGUAGCUUAACCUUCGGGAGGGCGC
rnacentral:rRNA from 1 species